rnacentral:lncRNA from 1 species
CGCUGCCAACCCGGAAGGAGCCCGGAGGGGCCCGGGCGGCCAGGGCGCCCCCGCCAGGAGGCCCGCCAGGUGUCCACCUGAGCCCCACGCCCUGCGCCGCGGGGCCCUUUUGGGGGCGGGGUGCCAGCUCCGAGGUGUCCUCCCACGGGCUGUAGACUGGGAAACUGAGGCCCGGGCCACGGUCCCAGACGCAGCCGGGACCCGAACCCACCUCACCUGAGCGAAUGAUAUCCGGGACUCAUCCUUUUUCGACACCUUUGCGGGAUCCAGCCCUCCAAGGAAAGCUUCCUGAGCAGUGCGCGCCACGUGUAUUGGGCACCUCACCGCGGCCACUUCACAUCCUAUCUCAGGUGGAGAAACUAAGCCACAGAAAGGAGCUGUCAUUUACCUAAAGCACCGUGGCAGGGGUUUGGCAGAGCCAGGAUUUGUACCCAGAUCGCCUGACUUCGGAGAGUAACAGCUCUUAACCACAGCACUUCGGUCUAUGCCUUGAUUUCACCAUAUGUAACAAGCAGCUGUGCCACUUUGCAUUCCCACCAGCAGCACGCAAGCGUUCGAAUUUCUCCGCACGCUCCCCAACAGGACAAGAGCUUGCCGUGUUGCCCCAGGCUGGUCUCAAACUCCUAGCCUCAAGCAAACUUCCUGUCUCGGCCUUUCAAAACCCUGAGAUUACAAGCAUAAGAAAAGAAAAUCUUGUAAGAUGAAAGCUGAAGGAUGAGAGCAAUUAAUUGAUGAAGUAUGAUGAUCCAGGUGUCCCUGGGUGAAGAAACAACCUCUACAAAGGCCCUGAGAGAUGGGGUCUCCCUAUGCUUCCCAGGCUGGUCUCGAACUCCUGGACUCAAGCAAUCCUCCUGUCUUGACCUCCCAAAGUGCUGGGAUUACAGGCGUGAGCCGCCUCACCUGGCCUAUAGAAUUUUAUACAAAUGAAAUCAUACUGGUCUCGCUCAUCACCAGGCUGGAGUACAGUGACAUGAUC